GGGUCAGUAGGUUGGUCGUGCCACCGGUACGUACUGGUCUCACUGAUUCCUCCUUCCUGAAGAACCGUAAUGCCAUUAAUUUGGUGUUGCGGGGAAACAGGACUGUUACUUUGAAAAAGUUAGAGUGUUUAGAGCAAGCUAACGCUUGAAUACAUUAGCAUGGAAUAAUGAAAUAGGACGAUCGAUCCUAUUUUGUUGGUUUCUAGGAUUGACGUA
rnacentral:rRNA from 1 species